rnacentral:lncRNA from 1 species
CAAAGUCAUUUGAUGGAGAAAUGUUGAUAAAAAUGAUGACAAAGAAAAUUCUACUUCUUAGCAGAACCGUGAGAAAGAAUGGGGAAGAGUCCAUCAAAUGGACUGUACAAGGAAUCAGAAUGGCUUUGCAGUUCUCAAUCGCAACCCUGAAGUCAAGAUGACUGAAGAAAUACCUCAAAAUUCAAAAGAAUAAUAAUUUCUAAAAUAGAAUAUUAUACUGAACCAAAUUAUCUGUCAAGUAAAGACAUUUCAGAAAUACAUUCUAAAAGUAUAUAUUCCACCCACUCACUCACGAAAAGCUACUAACGGGUAUAUACUAAUAAAAUAAGAAAGGGUAAGUAAGCAAACAAAAAGACUUAAGUAUUAGAAAACAGGAGCCCAGGAAAGAGGCAAAAGGCCAGAAAAAUCCUCAGAUAGAGAAGAGAAAAAUCCCAGGGUGUCAGUCAUGCACAGACCUACACCACAAGCAGCACAGGCUGGAAAAGUAUCACUUAAGAAACAGAUGUCAAAUAGUCCUAAUUAAAUAUUUCUAUUUUCCCUAAGGACAGGUGCUAGGAUCAGGCUAGCAGAGAUUCUUACACAUUUGCCCUUUUAGCCUUGAUUAUAUGCUGAUGCUCUCCUACUCUCCUUUAAAUGCCCUGUGUUCUGAAGCAGCCAACUUCACUCAUUGCACAAAACAUUUUGUCUUUGGAUAAGCUUGAGACCUGCAAAGCAAGCCGGCGACCUUAAAAGGAAACAGAAUGUAGCCCUCUCUCUCACUACAUUGCUAUUGGGUAUUCAAUAUCAGUCCUGCUGGAUACCCUGAUUGCUGAGAGGGCCUCAGUCAGAACUUUGUAGGCUGACUUCUCCAAGAAGGCACUCUUGGAAACGGUAACGGUGCCUGAAGCCAAUGAAUCAGAGACUGCUCACUUUAUCUUCUCCCGGGAGUCUUCAUCUAAAGAAUGAAGUAACAACCCAAAAGACAAGACUGCAGAGCACUGAGAACUUGCUGGAAUGCUAGCACUCCACAGAUGGCUCUGUUCCAUUCAUUGAGAAGAUAGUUUCUUUAAAUUGUUAUAUCUAUACAUUUCUGUAUCCCACUGUUUUCAAAGAGUCAAGAAUGUAUAAUCCCAAUAAUAAAC